rnacentral:rRNA from 1 species
UUGAAGAGUUUGAUCAUGGCUCAGAUUGAACGCUGGCGGCAGGCCUAACACAUGCAAGUCGAACGGAAACA